rnacentral:rRNA from 1 species
AUUGAACGCUGGCGGCAGGCCUAACACAUGCACGUCGCACGAGUGGCGGACGGGUGAGUAAUGUCUGGGAAACUGCCCGAUGGAGGGGGAUAACUACUGGAAACGGUAGCUAAUACCGCAUACCAUCGGAGGUGACCAGAUGGGAUUAGCUAGUAGGGGGGGUAACGGCUCACCUAGGCGACGAUCCCUAGCUGGUCUGAGAGGAUGACCAUCCACACUGGAACUGAGACACGGGCCAGACUCCUACGGUAGGCAGCAGUGGGGAAGAUUGCACAAUGGGCGCAAGCCUGAUGCAGCCAUGCCGCGUGUAUGAAGAAGGCCUUCGGGUUGUAAAGUACUUUCAGCGAGGAGGCGUUACUCGCAGAAGAAGCACCGGCUAACUCCGUGCCAGCAGCCGCGGUAAUAC